AAGGCAUUAACUACCGAGAACCGAAAAACAAGUACUCCAACCCACUUCUACCUUCUUCUUCUUCUUCUCCUCUUCCUUCUUUCUAUUUACCAGGCUCAUAUGACAAAAAGCCCCACCCAGUUACGCCUAUUACUCCAGAUUAUUUACCAGAGGGUCAAUUCUAUGUCCGGUUCUCGCCGGUUCCGAUUUGCACCUAGUGAGUACACUAGGGCGUGAUUCGAUUGCAGACACCAGUUCAACUCCUUUUUGGUCAGAUGAUAAUUCCUCAACCUUUUCUUCGUGGGUGAGUGAGGCAAUUUUCGUUCCGAGAAACCCAAGUUUGGUGUCCGUUUGGGGUUCCUCGGAGGCAGGUUCCGUGUCCGGAAAGUCCGUUUCUUGGUCCUUAACGGGGGAACUCCAAAACCUACAAGCCAGCGACGAGGAUCUGUACGGGGCGGAUCUACAACGGGUCAACAACAAAGCGUUUUUCGGGGGCGUGCUAGGGUUGGAAGCAAAAGAAACGAUAUUUUUAUCCGCAUUGGUUCUUUCUUCGGAGGCUGAUUCCGAUUCUUGGUGGUGGUUGGGCCGGGAGUGUUGCUUGGACUUUCGACGGAAGAAGGGCCAGGUGAGGCAGAAGGGCCGGUAGCGGCAGGGGUUGGACUUUGGAACCCAGCGACAGCGGCAGCGCGUGGGAGGGACGUCGCGUUUGGUGUUGGAAGAGCGUUUAACUCGAACUUGCCCCAUGCAGGUGACCUUGGGGGAAGAAGGUUCCUGGGUGGUUUGUGUUUGGAUGUUGGUGGUGGUUUUCUUGCGCAGGAACAUUGGGCUUGACCUGGACCUUCUGCUUUUGCUCCCUGCAUUGCUCCUGAGGAACCUCAUGAGUGGUGGAGGGAAUUUGUCUGUCCGACCCGGACUCGAAACGGGUUUGCCCGAUAGCUUCAUGUCCAGUGCUUGAGGGAAGGUUUUUGUUCCACUCUUCCCCGAAAGUGUGUGUUGUGUGAGAGAGGUUUGGUUUGGUGUGUUGUAAAACGCAAUCGAGAUGGGGUAUGUCUGAGGGAGCUUGCUUUCUGCAAAAUGCUUUUCCCAUUUUUGUUUUUUUGCUAUGGACUUUUUUAUUUUUAUUGCAUCUUCGCACGGAUGGAUGAAUCCCCUUUACUGUCAAGAUCUUUUUUUUUUAUUAUUAUUAUUUCCACCUUCUCAUACAAC